AUGCCAUUUGGAUUAUUUGUGGGAGUUAACAAUCAUUACCAAAGUAUUAUUCUUGCUGGAGUGUUGAUGCGGGAUGAACAAGAAGAGAGCUUCAAGUGGGUGUUCAUAGAAUUUCUACGGUUGAUGGGUGGGCCUGCUGCAAAGACAAUAUUGACAGAUCAAUGCAGGGCCAUGGAGGUGGCAAUAAGGAAUACGCAUCCUCAGACAGUACACCGAUGGUGCAAGUGGCAUGUCCGGAAGAAAGCAAAGGAUACACUGGGUCCACUGUACACGAAGAAGAGCGACUUUCAGGCAGAGUUUCACAAGGCUGUGAACCACGUGCUUACUGAAGAUGAGUUUGAAGCAGGAUGGGCCAUGUUGCUGGACAAAUACAACCUCCGUAGCCACACUUACAUGACACAAAUUUAUGAAAUGAGGAGGAAGUGGGCGAAGCCGUACUUCAGAGGUGUGUUCUGCGCAAAAAUGACAAGCACUCAAAGAAGUGAGAGCGCAAACCACAUGCUGAAAAUGUACAUGCCCCAUGAGCCCUAUGCAUGUGCUCGUUAG
rnacentral:rRNA from 1 species